AUUCUUGAAGACAGCUCGACCGUGAUGGAGGAGACAGGCAUUUAGAAUAAGCAUGAAAUAAAGGUGGCUGUUAAGGGGUCAGCUCCCCUCACCAAAGUCACUUUUGAUUUACUUACAAAAGUUUUCUUAAGAUUUCUUCAGAACCCAGGUCAAAAGGCUGUGGCAGGAGGCCAGGCAGAUCACAGCGUCCAUGCCUAGAUGCUCCCUGACCCCCAGGAACCAGAAGUGCUGUCUCCUGAAGGCUCUGGAAACCCGGAAUCAGCCUACGAGGCACCAGGGCCACCUUGGAGGGUGGAAAUGAGGACCUCAGGCCCCAGAGGGCAUGCAGGCGAGGUGAAGUUCAGGAGAGCCAGGAAGUGUCCCCCUCUUCCCGGCCUGCUGUAUCCCAGGACACAGGGCGUAAGUGUGGAGGAGGAAGGGCUGCAGGGUGAGGCAGCCCACACUUUGGCUCAGGACAGGGAUGGGACCGGGACAUAUGGGAAAAUAGUCUGGGGGUCCUGGGUAAUGGCAGGAGCAUGAGCUCAGGGUCGGGUGGCUGUCCUGGAUGACCUGUGGGACUCUCUUCCUCUCCAAGCCACGCUUUCCUCAACUGUCCCUUCCUUGUGGGAUGCAAGAGGCCACGGCGAGCGAAGGCAUGUGCCAAGAGCUGCCACUCAAUGUGAGUCAGCGUGCUGGUCCUCCCUCCUUUUCUCCAGGGGGCCUAGGACUUUUGGGGGGAGCCUGAGGACAUGCUUCGCUGAUGUCACUGUGUGGAGUGUACAAAUGGCCACCCUGCUGCUCGUUGGUUCUAUAUGGGCAUCCAGGCUGGAGAGCAGGGGGUGGGGAGAUGGAGAUGCCACCAGCAGGGGACUGGUUCCUAGAAGAGAGGGCGAGUUUGGGUGGUCCCAGAGGUGUUCUUCCCAGAAAAGAGAGCAGGAGGCAGGAGGUGGGCAUGGAGAAUGUGGAGGGGGGCAUUGACAGUGUUCUCCACCACCCAUCAGAUAAGACCUGGAGCCUCAUUACCAAAGACUUAAUGAGAUUCGCUUUGUUUUCUUAUGAGCCAGACCUCUCUGGGCCUUAGACUCCUUAUCCAUGAGCUUCCUGCCUGCACCCUAACAUUCAGUGUCAUUGGCCGAGUUACCCAAUGGCUCCCAGCCUCAGUUUCUUCAUCUGCACAUUAGGGAUAAGUACAGCCAUCCACCUGGGAGGUGUCAAGGGGGUGUGGCCGCAGCACCCAGCCCAUGCACAAGUUCAGUGAUCAUUACCUGUCUCCCCCAGCCCUGCCUGAGUGCCAGGAUCAGCAGGCUUGGGAAGGGGGAGCCCCCAGGGAUGUGGAAAGUGGAGAGGGAGCACAUGGGCUCUGGGGCCUCGGGGCUCCUGGGCUCUGUUCUGCCUGUCUGGGAGCUGUCUCCUGCUCUCCCUUGCAGUGUCUCUGUCUCUCUUCGUUCUGUUCCUCCCUCUGUCCUUCAGUUUUUCCCUCUCCAUCUCAGUCUCUGGUUGUCUCAGUCUCUCUUUGCACCUCACUGUCUCUGCCUUUCUCUGCAUCUCUCUUCCUUUCCUGGGCUCUCUCUCUCUCUUUCAUCCCUGUUUUGGGCUUUCUCUGUCUGUGUCUCUCUGUUUUUCAGUCUGCUUCUUUCUGUCUCCGUUCAUUUCUCUGUAUGUCUUUGUCCCCUGCACUCCCAUUCUCCUCCCAUGCUGUCCUCUCUGGGGGCUCCUCUGGCUUCACUGGGCCACAGGCCCAGGCUGGGGUGUGAAGAAGCAGGAGCUCCCCCGUCAGAUGACGCUAGGUGCCCCAGUCAGGGCAGUGGGGGCCAGACAAAGAGCUCUGCGAGGGGUGGCAAAAUCCUCUUCCCAGGGAAGGGAAUGUGGGGGCUACUGGCCAGCUGUGGGAUGGGUGGCUGAGAACUCUCAUACCACUGUAAAUUCUAGAUGUUUUUCACUUAUAUCAGCUUCCUGAUCCCCCUGAGCCAAAGGCCUAGAAGGUCCCUGUCCCUGUCCUUUUGGAAUGUGCAGUCUUACUUACCAGAGUGACAAGGGGAACAGAGUUGAAACAGGUGGUUUCCCAGCACAGGAGCCUGUGGGGGCUGCUUAGAGAACAGCACAUUCCCUGGGAGCCAGAGCCAUCUGGGAGGGCUUUCUGGAGGAGGCAGAUCAUGAGGGAUCAGGAUGGGGACUAAUAUGUGCUGAGUGCCUGGUGGUGCUUUAUAAGUAUCAGCAGAUUGGGAGAUAAGCAUAGCCACCCUGUGGAGACACCUGGGAGGUGUCAAGGGGCAUGCAUUGUAAAGGCCCAGAGUGGUGAAGCAUCCACCAGCUGGUAAGUGGUAGCCUCGGGUGGGGCCUGUCGCUGUCCCCAUGCUCUGUCCACUACUGGUGUGGCUUGCCCCACUUGUGACCAUCGUUUCUUCCCCUCCACCCCCAGUGCCACUUCCUCUCUCCCUCGUUGUAGGGGAAAGAACAUGGGCUGUGUGGCCUUGGACCAAUUGCUUGCCCUCUCUGGGCCUUCUUAUUGGUGACAGACAGACUGGUGACUUUCUGAGAGGAUCUAUGCAACCUCAGGCUCCUGCACCUGGGUUACAGGGUCUUCUGGAGGGGAAGAGAUGAGCAGGUAGGCUUUGACACCUGCCUGCUUUGUCCUGAGUGUCUACUAUGUCAUCUGCUUUAAAUGCGAAGUCCCUGGGACUUGCGAGUUAUCUCUAAGCCUUCUCUUUUCCUGACUUUCUGGGAGUGUGUGUACCCCCAUUCCCUCACCCCAGCCAUCAGGGCCCUUUCUGAGUUGGGCCUCCUUCCUAGCUCUGGGCUAGGCCCCAACCCUGGCCCUUUCCAAGGCCAGCAGGAACUGGAAGGUCCGUACUCAUGCCCUGGGAGGCUCCAGGCUCUAAGGGGUGCUGGAGUGAUGGAGUUGGGCGGCUGGUGCUCAGAGGACCUUAAUGGUGUGGGGACAGCUGGAAACUGGUUGUCUCUUGAACCCUCUUGCCACCAGGCCUCUGUCCAGGAGGGCUGCUGGGGGCCAAUGGGCCAGACACCAGACAGUCACACCUUUGGCAGGGCUGAAGUCGGGGGGUGUGUGACACAAUGGGAGGGGCUGGGCCUGGCAGUCCCUGCAGCCUAUAAGCACCAGCAACCCAUGAGGGGACACAGGCACCCUCUGGCCUCAUCCUUCUUGGAGCCAGUGGGAUGUAGCAACUAAAAUACAAGCUCUGAAGUUUCAUGGACUGGAGUUGCAUCUCUGCUUCCAUCCUAAUUAGCAAGAGACCUUGGUCACGUUGCUUAAACUCUGACACUAGAUUUUCCCCCUCUGCAAAGCAAGGACAAUAGCAGUGCUCCCUUCCCGGGUCAGUUGCAAGGAUUAAGGAUGAUGUCUGCAAAGUGCUUAGUCAGAGCCGGCAUACGGUAAGUGCUCAAUAAAUGCUGGCUCCCAUUAUUAGUAUCCCUUCCCUCCACGCCCUCAACACAUCCCUUUAUCAUGAUGGAAUAACCAAUUGCCUGGUAACAACAUGUUCACACUUCCACGCUCCCCAUCAACCAUGCUCACCUAUAAGGCAGGCUGCGACCAGCUCCUCUUCAUCUAUUCAUUGCCUGGCCCAUGCUAGGGGCCCAAGAAAUGUCUGCUGCAUCAACGAGUGAUUUUGGGAAAGGUGCUGAGCCCUUCUGUCCCAUGAAGUUCUUGCGAGACAGUGUCUCACCAGCAACCUGGAUCGUGAGAACCACAGCGGGUGGGCCAGAUCUAGAUGGAGAGUGUCCAUUGGGCAGAGCUGCUUCUGUGAAAGGAAAGGAAGUUUUUCAAGAAACCAUGAGGGGGGCCCAAGAAUCCAAGUUUCUAACUCUGGGAUCGGUUUUCUGUCUUUUACCUCGGUUUGCCUCUCCCUAGCUGUGUGGUUUAUGGCAAGUCACUCUGUGCCUCUGUCUCCACGUGUUCAAGGAGGCAGCCGGUCCAAGGGGCCUUCAUAGAAGGGGCUGCCGAGAUGUGAGCCCUGCAUUGGGGGGAUGCCCCACAGAGGUGCUGUCCCCCAUCCCCUUUCCAGGUAUGAGUGUCCCCCAGCUCUGAGUGAAUCAGUAGGAGGUGCUGGACCUGGGCUGAUUCUCACAGUGGGACCUCAACUCUAGCCCCGGGUUGGCUGACAUUAGAGGACUUUGGGUCGUUGUUCUGGCAGCUGCAAGGAAGAGCCAAUGUCAGGGAGGGAAACCCCACAUUCCCUGGCACUAUCCAAACAAAGGUUUGGUUAAAACAAAGAAUUCUCAUGGAGAAGAGUCUGAAGGACCCAAAACACAUAUUUCUGUAGACAUCCCAUCCCAAAAUAAACCCAUGGAUCAAGCCAGACCCAAAUACAAGGAUGCUGUGAACCACAUGGUUGAAUAUUCCACACUUUCCCCAUCCAUUAAACCCCACCCAGGGUGGGAAGGGGAUGGAUUUCCCUCAGUUCUCAGGGCCUAGAAGAGCAGGGCUUUUUUCCCUCAACUGGUUGAGUUUUACUUUGUGAGCACCAUGAUUCCUAAAACCAGUUAUAUUUUCUUUUUCUCUUGGGCCGCCAGGGAACUCACAGCGAAAUCUACCAACCAAAGAGGAUGUCCAUACCUGUCUUUUUCUUUCUUCCUUCAUUUUUUGACUUAAUUUCCUCACUUG
rnacentral:lncRNA from 1 species